rnacentral:misc_RNA from 1 species
UUCUAGGAGCACCAUUUCCCAGUCGAAUGAACUAUGGAACAUAAAGUAGGCAUCUGUAGCUGGGUAUCUACUUGGUGAAUAUGUUUUGUAAAUCCUGUCCACCCCCCUGGAUGGGUAGUCGGCAAAACGUCGGACUGUCAUAAGAAUUGAAACGCUGGCACACUGUUGGGUCCUGAGGCAACACGUUGUGUUGUCACCCUGCUUGGUGGUGGGGUGUGGACUUUGACUUCUGAAUAGUGGUUGCGAGCAUC